rnacentral:rRNA from 1 species
CACGUAGGGGGCGAGCGUUGUCCGGAUUUAUUGGGCGUAAAGAGCUCGUAGGCGGCUCAGUAAGUCAGGUGUGAAAACUCCAGGCUCAACCUGGAGACGCCACCUGAUACUGCUGUGGCUAGAGUCCGGUAGGGGAGCAUGGAAUUCCUGGUGUAGCGGUGAAAUGCGCAGAUAUCAGGAGGAACACCAGUGGCGAAGGCGGUGCUCUGGGCCGGAACUGACGCUGAGGAACGAAAGCGUGGGGAGCAAACAGG